AGUGAACGCUGGCGGUAGGCCUAACACAUGCAAGUCGAACGGCAGCACAGUAGGAGCUUGCUCUUACGGGUGGCGAGUGGCGGACGGGUGAGGAAUACAUCGGAAUCUACUUUUUCGUGGGUGAUAACGUAGGGAAACUUACUCUAAUACCGCAUACGACCUACGUGUGAAAGCAGGGGAUCUUCUGACCUUGCGCGAUUGAAUGAGCCGAUGUCGGAUUAGCUAGUUGGCGGGGUAAAGGCCCACCAAGGCGACGAUCCGUAGCUGGUCUGAGAGGAUGAUCAGCCACACUGGAUCUGAGGCACGGUCCAGACUCUUACGCGAGGCAGCAGUGGGAAAUACUGGACAAUGGAGGCAAGCCUGAUCCAGCCAUACCGCGUGAGUGAAGACGCCCUUAGGGUUGUAAAACCAUUUUGUUGGGAAAGAAGAAAAGCAGUUUAACCCCCCGCUGUUCUGACGGUACCCAAAGAAUAAGCACCGGCUAACUUCGUG
rnacentral:rRNA from 1 species